UGGGUGGUGCUUUCCAAACUCAUUGAAAUUCUCUCUAUGCCUAAUGUGUCAUUCUUUGAGCAUAUGUUAUAUAUAUUGUUGCAUGCAUUUUAGGGUAAAGUAACGAUGAAAUGUGAUGAUUGCAUGAUUGUGAGUUCAACGUGCCAAAUGUGAUGGUUGAGAACCUUAUGAAUGUCAAAACCCUAGAUGUAUGCAUGAGAGAAAAUGUGAGCACCCAAAGUGAGCAAAAGAACAGAGUGACACAAUGACAUAGAUCGAGUGGCAUUCGAUAAAGUUAAUGUGAAAUGACACUAGAGUUAGUGUGAUGUAAAGAUCGAAAGUGAUGUAAAGAAUGAAGAAUGUGACAACGUGUAAAGUUAAAGUAAAAUGGGGCAAUAAGAACAAGAAUGCUAGAGUUAGCAAGAGAAAUGAAAAUGUAAAGAAUGUGAUUGCAUGAGUUUGCAACAUAAAGUGAUGUAAAGAACACUAGAGCUAGUGUAAAGUCAAGAUUGAACUUAUAAUCUUUUGAGUUAAGGAUAUGAUCAUACUUGCUAUGAGUUCCGUGCUCGAGGGCGGUCGCUCCCCCUCGAGCGAUGCGCUCCGGAGUUAUGCAUCCGGGUUGGAGUAAACCCGAAAGGACGGUCCUAGCGGGUGAGUUCCUGCGAUGAUGGACUUAAUGUGAAGCAAGUUAAAG
rnacentral:lncRNA from 1 species